rnacentral:tRNA from 1 species
GGGGGUAUAGCUCAGUGGUAUAGCAUUUGCCUGCAACUCAAGAUGCCCCCCAUUCAAAUCCAGGUGUCCCCU